rnacentral:rRNA from 1 species
GCGAACGCUGGCGGCAGGCCUAACACAUGCAAGUCGAACGCACCUUUCGGGGUUAGUGGCGGACGGGUGAGUAACACGUGGGAACGUGCCUUUAGGUUCGGAAUAACUCAGGGAAACUUGUGCUAAUACCGAAUGUGCCCUUCGGGGGAAAGAUUAAUCGCCUUUAGAGCGGCCCGCGUCUGAUUAGCUAGUUGGUUGAGGUAAUGGCUCACCAAGGCGACGAUCAGUAGCUGGUCUGAGAGGAUGAUCAGCCACAUUGGGACUGAGACACGGCCCAAACUCCUACGGGAGGCAGCAGUGGGGAAUCUUGCGCAAUGGGCGAAAGCCUGACGCAGCCAUGCCGCGUGAAUGAUGAAGGUCUUAGGAUUGUAAAAUUCUUUCACCGGGGACGAUAAUGACGGUACCCGGAGAAGAAGCCCCGGCUAACUUCGUG